rnacentral:rRNA from 2 species
GUAAUGCAUGGAGCUGACCAAUACUAAUCGGUCGAGGGCUUAUCCUAUA